rnacentral:rRNA from 1 species
GACGAACGCUGGCGGCGUGCUUAGCACAUGCAAGUCGAACGCUGAAGCUUGGUGCUUGCUCUGGGUGGAUGAGUGGCGAACGGGUGAGUAAUACGUGAGUAACCUGCCCUUGACUCUGGGAUAAGCCUGGGAAACUGGGUCUAAUACUGGAUACGACAUGUCACCGCAUGGUGGUGUGUGGAAAGGGUUUUACUGGUUUUGGAUGGGCUCACGGCCUAUCAGCUUGUUGGUGGGGUAAUGGCUCACCAAGGCGACGACGGGUAGCCGGCCUGAGAGGGUGACCGGCCACACUGGGACUGAGACACGGCCCAGACUCCUACGGGAGGCAGCAGUGGGGAAUAUUGCACAAUGGGCGGAAGCCUGAUGCAGCGACGCCGCGUGAGGGAUGACGGCCUUCGGGUUGUAAACCUCUUUCAGCACGGAAGAAGCGAAAGUGACGGUACGUGCAGAAGAAGCGCCGGCUAACUACGUG